rnacentral:rRNA from 1 species
UACAGAGGUCCCAAGCGUUGUUCGGAUUCACUGGGCGUAAAGGGUGCGCAGGCGGUCUCGUAAGCUGGGUGUGAAAGCCCCGGGCUUAACCUGGGAAUGGCAUUCAGGACUGCGAGGCUUUGAGUGUGGCAGAGGGAGGUGGAAUUCCACGUGUAGCAGUGAAAUGCGUAGAGAUGUGGAGGAACACCGAUGGCGAAGGCAGCCUCCUGGGCCAGCACUGACGCUCAUGCACGAAAGCGUGGGGAGCAAACAGG